rnacentral:lncRNA from 1 species
AAGACCCGAGCUUGCAUUACUCAUUACUCAGUGCCCUGCAUAUUUUGUGAAAGGCUCUUAGUUGAGAUAUUCCAUGGCCAAAAAAUACAAUUUAUUUAAUGCGUUCGUAAUUCUGAAUCAGGUACAAAAAGAAGCAGACAAAUAUUACUUAUGUCUUAUAAGUUUGAUACAUGUUCCACCUAAUAAAUUUUCCCAAAAAGGAAAGCUGAGAGGUCCUAUGCAGCACCAUCAUGUGUUUCUUCUUUCUAGUUUAGAGACAACCUAAGAUUUCACUACUGAUAAGGAGAAUCUCCUUACUAAGGAAAUUACCAGGUCAUACCAUGGGCAUAAGAAUUGUUCUUCGGAAUUUCAUCACCAUAUUAAAAAAAGUAUUGAAGGAGAGGUCUGUAAAAAAAUCAUCCAUUAAUGAGUGCGAGCACUACUAAGACAACUAUAGCACACAAUAACCAACAAUCUAUAUAGAAUCCGGUCACUUUGAAAAGUUAAAAUGAUUUAUAUAAUAUACUAGAGAAUUGUGCCAGCUAGACCACUGAUCAUGAAGUAAAAUAUUUAGAGAAAUAUCUUUACAAAAGACAACUAUUAUUGGUACAAAAUUUGGAAGGGUAGUCACUGAAAAGAAAUUCCUUUCUAACUGAAUACAACACUGAUCAAAUUAUACCAUUGAUAGUAACUUGUGUAAGAUAAUAUUACGUACGACAAAAUCACUGGAUAGAGGACUCCCUCGGUAUUAAUGUAUUAAUCGUCGCUCAAGAACACAUAAUAGAAGUACUGUAACGAAUGGCCCAAAUGAAAUUUUAUAUAUGUCAGCAAAUACAAACUACAAAAGGGCAUGUUAUUUAAUACACCACAGAAUAAUUUGAGCAAAUUCGAUCGUAGCAGGUCUAAACAUGCAAGAUUAGCAUCACAAAUCAUAGCUUCUAUAACAUCAGAGUCCAUAGCAUCAGAGGUCGUACCUUUCGCAGUGUGUGAGUUUCUCAUUCCAGCACACAUACAUUGUCAUGUACCAGCUGUUUGUAGAGCUCAUCCCAGUGAGAAUUUGUAUCUUCUUUAGUUAUUAUGUCUCUUAACAGUUAGGAUAGCAUUAUAACUAAGUUGAUGAGUUGUUAGGUUUUUGGUUGGUGAUGUCUCUUGUUAGAUUUAACCUAGAAUAAAAAAAUUAUAAUCUAGAAGUUACUCAUCUGUUGGCUUUACUCAACAACUUUUUAAUUAGAAGGAGCUCCUAACAUAGAGCAUCUACAAACAUAAAUUCUAUUCCAUGGCAUAUGGAUUUGCUAUUAACGUAUUGAUUUGUAUCUAUAUGUUUACACCAAAUCAAAAUCAAAUGGAAGCAUCGUACAUCAUUAUUCCAAGGAAAUAAGCUAAGAGCAUGCAUCUUCAUUCUUCAAUAGAUUUCUGCUCGGUGUUCAGUGCAUAUAAUAAUUUAGUGCUACAAUUGGUAUUCCUCCAAGCUAUGCUUUUUCAUACAGCAAAUUGGCACCUCAUCUCCAUAGGAGCUGUGAAAUCUUUACUUUGGUCUCUCUUUCCCCUGUUUGCAAAUCAAUUUAUGUUUCACCCCAUCUUCAUAGUAGAAGUAAAGGGACACGAUUAGCUGAUGAUAUUCAAAUCCACAUAAACUCUGUUUGCACCUACAGAUGACAACGACUACUCUGUAUGCACCUAUAGAUAACAUCGACUACUCUGUAUGCACCUGAUAUUAACUUUCCUAUAAAAUAAAUAUACACAUAUAACAAUACUUACAUCCUUUUAAUAUGAAAUACACAAAAAUCAAAUAUCAGACAGUUGUUGAUGUUACUAUGACAACAUGACAGAAAGAAUCCACAUUAAUAUUGUUGACCUUCUCACCCCGUAGUCUAAAAUUAAAAUUUUCUAUCCUGUAUAUUCCAAGAGUUGUAAAUAUUAGGAAUCACGGUAUUUGUACUCAUUUAAUUCCUUUUGAUGUACUCGCUCAAUCUGAAUCACAGUAUCUUCAAUCUUUGAGAUACCAUCAGUUGUCUAUUUUUCGUCAGACGGUUUGCUAACUUGCAUUGACCAGUUUAUCACGGCAUAUGAUUGCACCAAUGAAUACUAACCUGUCUGACGUCCUAGCUCACUUUUAUGCAUGCAUCCAUGACGUACAUGAUGUAUAUGCUAUGCCAUGGACCUGAGCAUGUGGGAGAAAUAAGCUUUAUACGAUCUUGUGAUGUGGAAGUAAUAAAAGUGAUGGACUGUAUAAUAAAGGUUCAUAUCACAUGGGGCAAUAUAAAGUGGCGUUCUUUCGCAUUGAGAUUUUAUACAUCAAACCAUAAAAGCGCAUGGCAACCUCUGCUACCUCUGCGAAUGGCCUAUCCUUUAUUAUUAUCUUCUACCUUAUGCAAGAGUCAUGGUGAUCUUCACCUUUUCCUUUGCAUUUUAUCCUUUGGCAAGCUCAGCAUGUUGGAAAGAACAUGAUAUAUAUAUAUAUAUAUAUAUAUAUAUAUAUAUAUAUAAUUGGAUGUAGGGGAGCAUGAACCAUUAUCGUUGACAUAACCCUUGAGGUAAAAGGUUGUGGGGCAAAACUAUAAGCCCUAUCUUUCUCUGUGUCUGAUUAAAACUCUGUAACCACAAGUAUCGCGUGAGUGUUAGCAAUUAUGGAGGACUAAAUGAUAGUUGAGUAUGUGGACUUGCUUUUUAGCUCUGACAUAGACUCUUUCCGAUGUUAUGAUAAAUUGCAAUUGCUUCAAUGACUGAGAUUAUAGUUUGUCGGAGCCCAAUAAGGUUUAUGACUUAUACUCUUGCAUUGUGAAUAGAUCAUCACUUGAACAUAAGUAAUCAUAUGAUAAAAGCUAUAUAUGUUGCUGCUAUGAGAAUAAUCAUGAUGCCUUCAUGUCCGUAUUUUAUUUUUCUCGACGCCUCUACCUCCAAACAUGAGGACAUAUUUAUUGUUAUCGACUUUUCGCUUGAGGACAAGCGAGGUCUAAACUUGGGGGAGUUGAUACGUCCAUUAUGCAUCAUGCUUUUAUAUCGAUAUUUAUCGCAUUAUGGACUGUUAUUUCACUUUAUGUCACAAUACUUAUGGCUAUUAUCUCUUAUUUUACAAGGUUUACAUAAGGAGGGAGAAUGCCGGCAGCUGGAAUUCUGGGCUGGAAAAGGAGCAAAUAUUAGAGACCUAUUCUGUGCAACUCCAUAAGUCCUGAAACUCCACGGAACAUCUUAAAAUAAAUAAAGAAAAAUCCUCACCAAAGAUGAAGGCCAGGGGGCCCACACCCAGCUCACGAGGGUGGGGGAGCCCCCCCCCCCAAGGGAGUGCCCCCUGCCUCGUGGGCCCCCUGGUGGCUCUCCGACGUCCAUCUUCUCCUAUGUGAAGUCUUUCGAUGAGAAAAAAACAAGAGGGAACUUUUCGGGACGAGACUCCGCCGCCACGAGGCGGAACCUUGGUGGAUCCAAUCUAGAGCUCCGGUAGAGCUGUUCUGCCGGGGAAACUUCCCUCCGGGAGGGGGAAAUCAUCACCAACGCUCCUCUCAUUGGGAGAGGGCAAUCUCCAUCAACAUCUUCACCGGCACCAUCUCAUCUCCAAACCCUAGUUCAUCUCUUGUAUCCAAUUCUUGUCUCAAAGUCCAGGAUUGGUGCUAGUAGGUUGCUAGUAGUGUUGAUUACCCCUUGUAGUUGAUGCUAAUUGGUUUAUUUGGUGGAAGAUCAUAUGUUCAGAUCCUAUAUGCAUAUUAUUACCCCUCUGAUUAUGAACAUGAAUAUGCUUUGUGAGUAAUUACGUUUGUUCCUGAGGACAAGGGAGAAGUCUUGCUAUGAGUAGUCAUGUGAAUUUGGUAUUCGUUUGAUAUUUUGAUAAGAUGUAUGUUGUCUAGCCUCUAGUGGUGUUAUGUGAACGUCGACUACAUAACACUUCACCAUUAUUUGGGCCUAGAGGAAGGCAUUGGGAAGUAAUAAGUAGAUGAUGGGUUGCUAGAGUGACAGAAGCUUAAACCCUAGUUUAUGUGUUGCUUCGUAAGGGGCUGAUUUGGAUCCACAAGUUUCAUGCUAUGGUUAGGUUUACCUUAAUACUUUUGUUGUAGUUGCGGAUUCUUGCAAUAGAGGUUAAUCAUAAGUGGGAUGUUUGUUCAAGUAAGAACAUCACCCAAGCACCGGUCCACCCACAUAUCAAAUUAUCAAAGUAUCGAACGCGAAUCAUAUGAACGUGAUGAAAACUAGCUUGACGAUAUUCCCAUGUGUCCUCGGGAGCGCUUUUCCUAUUAUAAGAGUUUGUUCUGGCUUGUCCUUUGCUACAAAAAGGAUUGGGCCACCUUGCUGCACUUUAUUUACUUUUGUUACUCGUUGCUCAUUACAAUUCAUCCUAUCACAAAACUAUCUGUUACUACUUAUUUCAGUACUUGCAGAGAAUACCUUUCUGAAAACCGCUUAUCAUUUCCUUCUGCUCCUCAUUGGGUUUGACACUCUUACUUAUCGAAAGGACUACGAUAGAUCCCCUAUACUUGUGGGUCAUCAAUGCCCUCGGCAAGGGUCUUGUUGUGGUGUUGCAGUGGAUUUCCUUGGCUAGGAUCCCGCCGAGGGUCGCCGUCUUCUGGUCCUCGUCUGAUCUUGCGUGUUCAUGAUCUUGACAAAGAUCUGCAUGUCACCACGGAGGUGCCUCCCGAGCCUUGGUUCCAAUGUAGUCGUCGAUGGUGUUUGGAACUCCUGGGCUCAAGGGUGGCUCGCUCUGCUGGUGUUGGGCAAGUUGCCCCGGCAAGGGUCUUGCCGGGGGAGUCCACCUUGCUCCUUUGUUCUUCAGUGUUUCUGGUCUUGGUGUUGCUUUGUUUGUCUUAUGCUUCGGUUUCCCUCCGGCUUCCCUCCUCUGCGUUGUUAGGUGUGGCCAUGGGCACAGCUCUGACUUCCCGUGCACAAGUUAAGGAGUGCAAAAGGAGAGCCCCUACUUUUGUACACCGACAAAAGUCCUAUGUUUAAUUUUUUUUGGUGUUAUAAUAAUCAACAUGAUGCUUCUAUGUUCGUAUUUUGUUUUUGUCGACACCUCUCUCUCGAAGCAUGUGGACAUGUUUUUCGAUUUCGAUUUCGCUUGAGGACAAGUGAGGUCUAAGCUUGGGGGAGCUAAUACGUCCAUUUUGCAUCAUGUUUUCUUACUGUCAUUUAUAAUUUUGUUAUCCAUAAUAAUGCUUUUUGGAGUAAUUCUAAUGCCUUUUCUCUCAUAAUUUGCAAGGAACACACCAAGAGGGAGAAUUCCGGCAGCUGGAAAUCUGGACCUGGAAAAGCUACGACAGGCCACCUAUUCUGCACAACUCCAAAUGAUCUGAAAAUUUACGGAGAAUUUUUAUGAAUUAUUUGAGGAAGAUUGGAGUCAAUAAACACCAGUGGGGGGGCCACCAGGUGGGCACAACCCACCUGGGCGCGCCAGGCCCCCCAAGCGCCCCCUGGUGGGUUGUGGCCUCCUCGGCCCACCUCUGGUGCCCAUGUUCUGGUAUAUAAGUGGUUUUGACCUAGAAAAAAAUAAGAGGAGGACUUUCGGGACAAAGCGCUGCAGCCUCGAGAUGGAACUUGGGUAGGAGCACUUUUGCCCUCCGACAGAGCGAUUCGGCCAGGGGAACUUCCCUCUCGGGGGGGGGGGAAUCAUCAUCACCAACAACUCCCCCAUCUUAGGGAUGAGAAAAACAAUUCAUGAGCUCUUCGCAAUGCUUAAGGUCGCGGAGGUAGAAAUCAAGAAUGAGCAUCAAGUGUUGAUGGUUAACAAGACCACUAGUUUCAAGAAAAAGGACAAGGGAAAGAAAGGGAACUUCAAGAAGAAUGGCAAGCAAGUUGCCACUCCCAAGAAGAAACUCAAAGCUGGACCCAAGCCUGAAACUGAGUGCUUCUACUCCAAAGGGACUGGCAACUGGAAGCGGAACUGCCCCAAAUACUUGGUGGAUAAGAAAGAUGGCAAAGUGAACAAAGGUAUAUUUGAUAUACAUGUUAUUGAUGUGUACCUUACUAAUGCUCGUAGUAGCGCCUAAGUAUUCGAUACUGGUUCGGUUGCUCAUAUUUGUAACUCGAAACAGGAGCUACGGAUUAAACGAAGAUUGGCUAAGGACGAGGUGAUGAUGCGCGCCCGAAUGGUUCCAAGGUCGAUGUGAUCGCCGUCGGCACGCUACCUCUACAUCUACCUUCGGGAUUAGUUUUAGACCUGAAUAAUUGCUAUUUGAUGCCAGCGUUGAGCACGAACAUUAUAUCUGGAUCUUGUUUAGUGCGAGACGGCUAUUCAUUUAAAUCGGAUAAUAAUGGUUGUUCUAUUUAUAUGAGUAAUAUCUUUUAUGGUCAUGCACCCUUGAAGAGUGGUCUAUUCUUGUUGAAUCUCGAUUGUAGUUAUACACAUAUUCAUAAUAUUGAUGCCAAAAGAUGCAAAGUUGAUAAUGAUAGUGCAACAUAUUUGUGGCACUGUCGUUUAGGUCAUAUUGAUGUAAAGCGCAUGAAGAAACUCCAUACAGAUGGACUUUUGGAAUCACUUGAUUAUUAAUCAUUUGAUACUUGCAAACCAUACCUCAUGGGAAAGAUGAAUAAAACUCUGUUCUCCAGAACAAUGGAGCGAGCCAAUGACUUAUUGGAAAUAAUACAUACCGAUGUAUGCGGUCCAAUGAGUAUUAAAGCACACGACUGGUAUCAUUAUUUCCUGACCUUCACAGAUGAUUUGAGUAGGUAUGGGUAUAUCUACUUAAUGAAACACAAGUCUGAAACAUUUGAAAAAUUCAAAGAAUUUCAAAGUGAAAUAGGGAAUCAUCUUAACAAGAAAAUAAAGCUUCUACGAUCUGAUCAUGGAGGCGAAUAUUUGAGUUACGAGUUUGGCCUUCAUUUAAAACAAUGUGGAAUUGUUUCACAACUCACGCCACCUAGAACACCACAGCGUAAUGGUGUGUCUGAACGUCGUAACCGUUCUUUAUUGGAUAUGGUGCAUUCUAUGAUGUCUCUUACCGAUUUACCACUAUCGUUUUUGGGUUAUGCAUUAGAGACAGGUGCAUUCACGUUAAAUAGGGCACCGUAUAAAUCCGUUGAGACGACACCAUAUGAACUAUGGUUUGGCAAGAAACCUAAGUUGUCGUUUCUUAAAGUUUGGGGUUGCGACACUUAUGUCAAAAGGCUUCAGCCUGAUAAGCUCGAACCCAAAUUGGAGAAAUGCGUGUUCAUAGGAUACCCUAAGGCAACAAUUGGGUACACCUUCUACCACAGAUCCGAAGGCAAGAUCUUUGUUGCCAAGAAUGGAACAUUUCUAGAGAAGGAGUUUCUCUCGAAAGAAGUGAGUGGGAGGAAAGUAGAACUUGAUGAGGUAAUUGUACCUUCUCUCAAUUUGGAAAGUAACACAUCAGAGAAAUCCGUUCCCAUGAUGCCUACGCCAACUAGAGAGGAAGUUAAUGAUGAUGAUCAUGAAACUUUAGAUCAAGUUACUAGUGGACCUUAUAGGUAGAACAGAGCACGUUCCGCACCAGAGUGGUAAAGUAACCCUGUCCUCGAAGUUAUGUUACUAGACCAUGACGAACCUACAGACUAUGAAGAAGCUAUGAUGAGCCUAGAUUAUGAUAAAUGGCUUGAGCCAUGAAAUCUGAGAUAGGAUCCAUGUAUGAGAACAAAGUGUGGACUUUGGUGGACUUGCAUGAUGACCGGCAAGCCAUUGAGAAUAAAUGGAUCUUUAAGAAGAAGACAGACGCUGAUGGUAAUGUCACCAUCUACAAAGCUCAACUUGUCGCAAAAGGUUUUCGACAAGUUCAAGGGGUUGACUACGAUGAGACCUUCUCACCUAUAAUGAUGCUUAAGUCAGUCUGAAUCAUGUUAGCAAUUGCCGCAUUUUAUAAUUAUGAAAUCUGGCAAAUGGACGUCAAAACUGCAUUCCUAAAUGGAUUUCUUAAAGAAGAGUUGCAUAUGAUGCAACCAGAAGGUUUCGUCGAUCCUAAAGGUGCUAACAAAGUGCGCAAGCUCCAGCGAUCCAUCUAUGGACUGGUGCAAGCAUCUCGGAAUUGGAAUAUACGCUUUGAUGAGGUGAUCAAAGCAUAUGGUUUUAUACAGACUUACGGUGAAGCCCGUAUUUACAAGAAAGUGAGAGCCAGCUCUUUAGCAUUUCUGAUAUUAUAUGUGGAUGACAUAUUGUUGACCGGAAGUGAUAUAGAAUUUCUGGAAAGCCUAAAAGGAUACUUGAAUAAGAAUUUUUCAAUGAAAGACCUCGGUGAAGUUGCUUAUAUAUUGGGCAUCAAGAUCUAUAGGGAUAGAUCAAGAUGCUUGAUAGGACUUUCACAAAGCACAUACCUUGAUAAAGUUUUGAAGAAAUUCAAAAUGGAUCAGUCAAAGAAAGGUUUCUUGCCUGUGUUACAAGGUGUGAAGUUGAGUCAGACUCAAAUCCCGACCACUAUAGAAGAUAGAGAGAAAAUGAAAGUCAUUCCCUAUGCCUCAGCCAUAGGUUCUAUCAUGUAUGCUAUGUUGUGUACCAGACCUGAUGUGUGCCUUGCGAUAAGUUUGGCGGGGAGGUACCAAAGUAAUCCAGGAGUGGAUCACUGGACAAUGGUCAAGAACAUCCUAAAGUACCUAAAAAGGACAAAGGAUAUGUUUCUCGUUUAUGGAGGUGACGAAGAGCUCGUUGUAAAUGGUUACGUUGAUGCUAGCUUCGACACUGAUCCGGAUGACUCUAAGUCACAAACCAGAUACGUUUUUAUAUUGAAUGGUAGAGUUGUCAGUUGGUGCAGUUCCAAGCAGAGCAUCAUGGCGGGAUCUACAUGUGAAGCGGAGUACAUGGCUGCUUCGGAAGCAGCUCAUGAAGGAGUUCAUAUCUGAUCUCGGUGUAAUACCCAGUGCAUCGGGUCCAAUUAAAAUCUUUUGUGACAACACUGGAGCAAUUGCCUUGGCAAAGGAAUCCAGGUUUCACAAGAAGACUAAACACAUCAAGAGACAACUCCAUUCAUGAAAAGGUCAAGGAUGGAGACAUAGAAGUUUGCAAAAUACAUACGGAUCUAAAUGUAGCAGACCCAUUGACUAAGCCUCUUCCGCGAGCAAAACAUGAUCAGCACCAAGACUCCAUGGGUAUUAGAUUCAUUACAAUAUAAUCUAGAUUAUUGACUCUAGUGCAAGUGGGAGACUGAAGGAAAUAUGCCCUAGAGGCAAUAAUAUAGUUGUUAUUUUAUAUUUCCUUAUUCAUGAUAAAGGUUUAUUAUUCAUGCUAGAAUUGUAUUGAUUGGAAACUUAAAUACAUGUGUGAAUACAUAAACAAAUACCGUGUACCUAGUAAGUCUCUACUAGACUAGCUCGUUGAUCAAAGAUGGUUAAGGUUUCCUAACCAUAGAUGUGUGUUGUCAUUUGAUAACGGAAUCACAUCAUUAGGAGAAUGAUGUGAUGGACAAGACCCAUCUGUUAGCUUAGCAUAAUGAUCAUUCAGUUUAUUGUUAUUGCUUUCUUCAUGUCAAAUACAUAUUCCUCCCACUAUGAGAUUAUGCAACUCCCAGAUCCCGAAGGAAUACCUUGUGUGCUAUCAAACGUCACAACAUAACUGGGUGAUCGUAAAUAUGCUCUACAGGUAUCUAUGAAGGUGUUUGUUGAGUUGGCAUAGAUCAAAAUUAGGAUUUGUCACUCCGAGUAUCCGAGAGCUAUCUCUAGGCCCUCUCGGUAAUACACAUCAUAAGAAGCCUUGCAAGCAAAGUGACUAAUGAGUUAGUUGCAUGAUGAUGUAUUAUGGAACGAGUAAAGAGACUUGCCGGUAAUGAGAUUGAACUAGGUAUGAAGAUACCAACGAUCGAAUCUUGGGCAAGUAACAUACUGAUGGACAAAGGGAAUUACGUAUGUUGUCAUAACGGUUCAACUGAUAAAUAUCUUCAUAGAAUAUGUAGGAGACAAUAUGGGCAUCCAGGUUCCGCUGUUGGUUAUUGACCGGAGAGGUGUCUCGGUCAUGUCUACAUAGUUCUCGAACUCAUAGGGUCCGUACGCUUAACGUUCGUUGACGAUGUAGUGUUAUAUGAGUUAUAUGAUUUGGUGAACGAUUGUUGUUUGGAGUCCCGGAUGAGAUCAUGAAUAUAACGAGGAGUCUUGAAAUGGUUGAGAGGUAAAGAUUGAUAUAUAGGACGAUGGUAUUUGGACAUCAGAAGUGUUUCGGGUGAUAUCGGGUACUUGUCGGGUCACAUGAAGGGGUUCCGGGCACCCCCGGCAAAGCUAUGGGCCUAAUGGGCCAAGUGAGGGAACACGCCAGCCCUCAGGGUGCUUGUGCACCCCUAUAGAUGGCCGGCCCUAGGGAAGAAGGAAAGUGGAGACUAGGUCUCCCCUUUCCUCCCCCCUCCUCUUCCUUCCUUUCCCCUUUGGGGAAAUAUGGCAGGGGGCGCAGGGCAAGGCAGGGGCCCUAGGGCGCGCCUGGCUGCCUCCCCUCCCUUCCCACCUAUAUAUACAUGGGGAGGGGGCGCCACUCAAGGACACAACAUUGUCUUAGCCGUGUGUGGUGCCCUCGUCCACCAUUUACUACCUCGGUCAUAUUUUCGUAGUGCUUAGGCGAAGCCCUGCGGAGAUCACUUCACCGUCACCGUCACCACGCUGUCCUGCUGUUGAAACUCAUCUACUACCUCGCCGUCUUGCUGGAUCAAGAAGGCGGAGGACGUCACCGAGCUGAACGUGUGCAGAACGCGGAGGUGUCGUGCCUUCGGUACUUGAUCAGUUGGAGCGUGAAGAAGUUCGACUGCAUCAACCAUGUUGUUAAAUGCUUUCACUUACGGUCUAUGAGGGUACGCAGACACACUGUCCCCCUCAUUGCUAUGCAUCUCUAUGGAUAGAUCAUUGCGUGAGCGUAGAAUUUUUUGUUUUCCAUGCAACGUUUCCCAAUAGAUAUCAAACUUCCUAGACUGUUCGGGCCAAAAUGGAGGACCAUUGGAUAGGCUCCCCUAAUCCUCCCCUCCAUUUGAGACCGGAUCGGGGGAUAUCAAACUUUACGGACUAUUCAUGCUAAAAUGGAGGCUCGUUGGAUGGCAUUUUUAGUCCCGACAUAUCCAUACCAUGUAGAGUGGUUCAAUCAUCAUAAUAUUUUAGGGGAAGUAAUGUGAAGAUGAAUCACUAAGGAUACUGAAUGUGGCAACAAUACAAUGUGGAACAGAGCUCACCCUACUUUGGAAAAGCUAGAUAGGAUCCUCAUGAGGAAUUAUUGGGAAGACAUGUUUCCUCAAGUAAAUGUGAGGAAGCUGGUUAGAUAUGCAUCUGACCAUAAUGCUCUAUUACUUUCCUCUGACAAUUUGAUUGUCAGGAGUCCCCAAGUAAGAGAAUUUAGGUUUUAAAUGGGUUGGCUAAAAUAUGAGGAAUUUAUUCCUCUGGUGGAAGAGAUUUGGAAGAAAUAUGUGAGAUCUAAUGAUCCAAUUGACAUUUUCGAUAUUAAACUGAAGAGAAUCAAAAAUAUAUAGGUUGGGGAUCCAACAAGUUGGGAAUGAUAGAAAAAAGAAAAAUGAGAUCAAGGAAGAGGUGUUGAUCAUUGAAAAUCUUCAGGAGCAAGGUGCUCUAGACCCUGACAUGUUCUGUAAGAAAAUGGAAUUACUUGUCGGGUUGAAUGAGAUUAUGGUGAAUGAAGAGCUAUAUCUCUUGUAACAAUCCCAUGAAAAGUGUGGCUCCUGCAAGGGGACCAAAAUAAUGCUUAUUUCUAGAAAAUUUCCAAUGGCAAUAAAAGGAAAAAUACUAUCCAUUGUUCAUGUGUUGGAGACACAACUAUUGAAGGAACUUAAAAUCUUCUUAAACAUGCUACUGACUUUUACAAAGUGCUUUUUAGGCCUGCCCUUGGCAACUUAUUUCAUUUAGACCCUUAUCUGUGGGGGAGAAUGAGAAAUUAAAUGAGUCUACUGGUGAUUUGUUAAAUAAACCCUUCUUUGUGGAGGAGGUGAAAAGGCAUUGUUGCCAUGAAAAGUAACAAAGGCCCCUUGUCCUAACAACAUUCCUACUGUGUUUUACGAGUGUUGUUGGGAAAUUGUGCAACACUAGUCGUCAACCCAUGCAGAUGCAUGGGCUAUCCACUCUAGGUUACACUUAAGCACAAUAAAGUUUAUAUUAUUAUAAUUAAAUAUUCAUUUGCAAAGUUAUUUUGAAUUUAAAUACAUCAUGAAUUUUGGAUUCUAAAUAUAAAAUAAUAUAUUUUGGGGGGAUGUAUAUCAUUGAGAAAUGUUGGUAGAUAAGAGAAGAGGCUGAUAAAAAUCAUUAGAUGUAAUGUGUCGCUUUAAAGCUGAUAGUGGCACUAUUGCAAGGUAAGCAUGUAGAGAUUACAUAUGACAUAUAGAAUUUCCAAGUUACGAAUUAAAGUGUUCAUGCACCCAUGCCUACCAUGGUGCUUUCAGUAAUGAUUUCUAUUGACUUACUCUACACAUUACAGUUUUAUGAGCUACAAAAUUUGGAGGAACCAAACAGAUUAUUUCAUAACUGGUUUUCUAUGACAACAAUGUACGUGAAAGGAAAGGUUGUGAGAGGCGAGAUUAUAUGGAUUCGGUUUGUAGUUUUAGGAAAAUGCUGUUGAUAAGGAGCAUGAAAGUAAUUAAGAAUGGGUGAAAUCUUAAUUAACAACAUGAAGGCAGACAGGUGAGAAUAACAUAGUUGUCGAGUACAACAACAAAACCAUAAUUACACCCACAAACAAAAAUAGACUGAUAAAUCAAUGUGUUUGUAUACAUUAUGUUUUGCAAGCAGCGGCUUUGCAUAUUUGGUUUAGCAUGCAUUGAUCAUGUUUUGGGGUUGUCAUGUUGGAUGCAGCAAAUUCUGGGUAGCAAAGAAGAAAUAAGCCACGGAUACUGUCAAUACAUUUUUCUUGCUUGUAAUUUAAAAGCACCCUCGUUUUUUUCUUUUGCUCGGAAUGCCAUAAAAAUGGGUAGGAAAAAAAGGACGUAAGUGAAAAACAUAAGGGAAUAUAGAUGUAGACCUUGGUCCAGCAAUUCAAUCUUGCUCCAGCAAGGCAUAUUACAAAAUGACGUUUCUCACAUUCCUAAGUCUAGUUAGUAAAUAUCAUCAGGAGGCACAGGAAAUUAAGUGUUGGAGCUAACUGGGAUAUAUAUUACAUAGUGGCCUUGUCCCUUCCGGACUUGGGCAAUCAUGGGCGUGUGCUCUGUUUUUCUGGCCGGUAGAUCCAGUAGUAAAUAAUCCUUGUUUGGUGCGUCCUCCAUGAAUCAAUCAAGGUGCUUUAAUCCUUAUGGCAGAAAGAAGUCCUCCCAGAGCAACCUAACUGGUACUGUAGCAAUUACUUGGUUCUUGCACAAAUGCGUCAGACAAUACAAACUGCACAAAAUUCUCUUCAAGAAUCAAGGAUAUAUCUACUAAAAAGCAAAUAAAUUAAGAGCCAAUACAAAAACUUCAAUGCUAGUACUUUACCCUGAUCAAUCCUUUCUUAUCACCAUGCUUUUUAUGCUUCCGCAGCCACAUGUAAUCUCCAUUGACAAUCAUCGCUCAUCGGCAUGAACUGGCACUUCUCUGUGCGCCAAUGCAUCCUCUGGUUGGUGCCAGCGCUCGCCGGCCAACCUGCAACUGUUACCAGAUAGAUCAAUCAGAAGAACAUAAGCAUCAUAGACGAUAGUCGUCAACCCAUCUAUUUGCAAGUCCUAGCAUUUUGUACAACACCUAAAGAUAAAGGUACUAAAAUCAUUUAUUAGAUACACAAUAUUUAGAUAUAUAAACUAAAUUAUUAUACCAGUCUCUUGAACCAAUAGAAAGGAAACAUGCAAAUUUCGGUUUACUUAAGAAGAAUGUAAAUUUUGUCAUACUAAAUGCUAAGAAAAAUGAUCCAAAUUCAGAGGUACAUCAAAUCACAAUUAUAGUAAUGAAAGAAAACACACAAAAGGCAUUUUUAUCUCUUCCCAAAAUAGGAUAAAAAAAUUAAUGAACAAUUAGACUUUUUAAUGGUUCAUAGAUGAAUACACUGUACCAUAAAGAGUCUUAUAUUGUAUAUUGUGUUACCUAACUUAUUUAGAUAGGCAAAUAAUCCUAACAAAAAAUAUUAGUACAGAAAAAUGUAACAUAAAACAUGAAAUGUAAGAACCAAAUAGAGGAACAAACAUUUUGUGGCCACUGGAUUGUAAAAAGAAUGGACACUAAAGUUACUAUAAAUUUUUAACUUUUCUAUAAGGUGAGGUAGUAAUAAGCCAAAAAAAUAUGACAUCUCAUUUCUUUUGGCGCAUUCACCUCAAUUAUUUUCUUAUGCUUGUUUUUUGCAUAAAAUAUAAGGCAUGUGUGUAGACAGAUGAAUGAACUAUUGGACUCUAUGUGCAUCCUUUUUGUGAGCUUAUACAACUAAAAAUCAGGAAGAGAUUGCAAACUUGGAAAUCAUAGAAACUUACAUUUAGUUUUGUAUUUAGUUAUUAAUCGAUAUGAUUUUCCAUUUAUCCCACUACCAAGACCCGAGCUUGAAUUACUCAUUACUCAGUGCCCUGCAUAUUUUGUGAAAGGCUCUUAGUUGAGAUAUUCCAUGUCCAAAAAAUACAAUUUAUUUAAUGCGUUCUUAAUUCUGAAUCAGGUACAAAAAGAAUCAGACAAAUAUUAGUUAUGUCUUAUAAGUUUGAUACAUGUGCCGCCUAAUAAAUUUUCCCAAAAAGGAAAGCUGGGAGGUCCUAUGCAGCACCAUCAUGUGUUUCUUCUUUCUAGUUUAGAGACAACCUAAGAUUUCACUACUGAUAAGGAGAAUCUCCUUACUAAGGAAAUUACCAGGUCAUACCAUGGGCAUAAGAAUUGUUCUUCGGACUUUCAUCACCAUAUUAAAAAAAGUAUUGAAGGAGAGGUCUGUAAAAAAAUCAUCCAUUAAUGAGUGCGAGCACUACUAAGACAACUAUAGCACACAAUAACCAACAAUCUAUAUAGAAUCCGGUCACUUUGAAAAG